AGACAGGUGGUGCAUGGUUGUCGUCAGCUCGUGUCGUGAGAUGUUGGGUUAAGUCCCGCAACGAGCGCAACCCUACGUUAGUUGCUAACACGUGAAGGCGAGCACUCUAGACGAACUGCCGUUGACAAAACGGAGGAAGGUGGGGAUGACGUCAAAUCAUCAUGCCCCUUAUGUUCUGGGCUACACACGUGCUACAAUGGCCGGUACAGACGGACGCAAGGCCGCGAGGUGGAGCAAAUCCUAAAAAGCCGGUCUCAGUUCGGAUUGCAGGCUGCAAUUCGCCUGCAUGAAGUCGGAAUCGCUAGUAAUCGCAGGUCAGCAUACUGCGGUGAAUACGUUCCCGGGCCUU
rnacentral:rRNA from 1 species